UACGGAGGAUGCAAGCGUUAUCCGGAAUGAUUGGGCGUAAAGCGUCCGCAGGUGGCUGUGUAAGUCUGCUGUCAAAGAGCAAAGCUCAACUUUGUAAAGGCAGUGGAAACUACACGGCUAGAGUGCGUUCGGGGCAGAGGGAAUUCCUGGUGUAGCGGUGAAAUGCGUAGAGAUCAGGAAGAGCACCGGUGGCGAAGGCGCUCUGCUAGGCCGCAACUGACACUGAGGGACGAAAGCUAGGGGAGCGAAUGGG
rnacentral:rRNA from 1 species